rnacentral:rRNA from 1 species
CUGGCGGCAGGCCUAACACAUGCAAGUCGAGCGCGCCUUCGGGUGAGCGGCGGACGGGUUAGUAACGCGUGGGAACGUGCCCUUCUCUACGGAAUAGCCUCUGGAAACGGAGAGUAAUACCGUAUACGCCCUUUGGGGGAAAGAUUUAUCGGAGAAGGAUCGGCCCGCGUUAGAUUAGGUAGUUGGUGGGGUAACGGCCUACCAAGCCUACGAUCUAUAGCUGGUUUUAGAGGAUGAUCAGCAACACUGGGACUGAGACACGGCCCAGACUCCUACGGGAGGCAGCAGUGGGGAAUCUUAGACAAUGGGGGCAACCCUGAUCUAGCCAUGCCGCGUGAGUGAUGAAGGCCUUAGGGUCGUAAAGCUCUUUCGCCUGUGAUGAUAAUGACAGUAGCAGGUAAAGAAACCCCGGCUAACUCCGUGCCAGCAGCCGCGGUAAUACGGAGGGGGUUAGCGUUGUUCGGAAUUACUGGGCGUAAAGCGCGCGUAGGCGGAUUAGAAAGUUGGGGGUGAAAUCCCGGGGCUCAACCUCGGAACUGCCUCCAAAACUGCUAGUCUAGAGUUCGAGAGAGGUGAGUGGAAUUCCGAGUGUAGAGGUGAAAUUCGUAGAUAUUCGGGGGAACACCAGUGGCGAAGGCGGCUCACUGGCUCGAUACUGACGCUGAGGUGCGAAAGUGUGGGGAGCAAACAGGAUUAGAUACCCUGGUAGUCCACACCGUAAACGAUGAAUGCCAGUCGUCGGGUAGUAUACUAUUUCGGUGACACACCUAACGGAUUAAGCAUUCCGCCUGGGGGGUACGGUCGCAAGAUUAAAACUCAAAGGAAUUUACGGGGGCCCGCACAAGCGCUGGAGCAUGUGGUUUAAUUCGAGGC